AUUUAUAUAGUUUAAUAAAACAUUACAUUUUCAUUGUAAAAAUAAUAAAAAUUUUAUUUAUAAAUU
rnacentral:tRNA from 2 species